AUGAGACGUUGCUGUCACACUGAAAAAGGCGGAGGAAAGCGAGGUGUUUUUUGUUUUGUUUUGCUUUUCAACAAAAUUUGGAGUGUGUACUUUCAAUAUUUUUUCCCGGAACAGAUUCUUAAAGGAGAGAUCUGGAAUAUUGCACAAGUUGCUUGUUCAACAGGAAGUUGCAUCAUACACAUUUCCUGAAGAUAACGGGAAGAAGAAAAUAAUAUUGUCUGACCGGGUCAGUAUGAAAGUACAGUCCUGUAAUCCAAAUUAUACAGUCCCUUCUGAAAGUACUGGAACAGCAAGGGCAGUACUUGGUUUUUGCUCUACACUGAAGACAUUUGGGUUUGAGAUCAAAAGAUGAAUGACACGACAGGGGUUUGUUUAAAAUUUCAGCUUUCUUUCAGUGAUAUUCACAUCAGCUUACAUAUAUUUACAUUUACAUGCCAUUAGCAUUGAUGCUAGUUAACUACUUUGUGUGUAUUUGAUAAAUCUGUCACUUAUUUAAGAGCAAAAUGUCAGCAAAGAACCCUUGCACA